rnacentral:rRNA from 1 species
AGUGAACGCUGGCGGUAGGCCUAACACAUGCAAGUCGAACGGCAGCACAGUAAGAGCUUGCUCUUACGGGUGGCGAGUGGCGGACGGGUGAGGAAUACAUCGGAAUCUACUUUUUCGUGGGGGAUAACGUAGUGAAACUUACGCUAAUACCGCAUACGACCUACGGGUGAAAGCAGGGGAUCUUCGGACCUUGCGCGAUUGAAUGAGCCGAUGUCGGAUUAGCUAGUUGGCGGGGUAAAGGCCCACCAAGGCGACGAUCCGUAGCUGGUCUGAGAGGAUGAUCAGCCACACUGGAACUGAGACACGGUCCAGACUCCUACGGGAGGCAGCAGUGGGGAAUAUUGGACAAUGGGCGCAAGCCUGAUCCAGCCAUACCGCGUGGGUGAAGAAGGCCUUCGGGUUGUAAAGCCCUUUUGUUGGGAAAGAAAAGCAGCAGGUUAAUACCCCGCUGUUCUGACGGUACCCAAAGAAAAAGCACCGGCUAACUUCGUG